CCUGGCACCUUAUUUGAGCUCAAAUAAAUUUGGUUGUUUGCUUCUCCACCCUAGUGUGUUUAUUGGCGCUUAAGCACUCUAGGCAACGAACCACUGUUGCUUGCCUCUGGCACUGCUGUGUCUGCAACAGUUUUUGGCGUCCCUGGGUGGGCUGAGGCGGAAAUUAGCCUUGCCUGGAUCCCUCCUGGAGGUCAACGGAUCGCGGUGACGACCAACGCCCAGUGCACACCGGUGACUUCACCGGGGGCCUCGGCAGAGACGCGGUGUGAGCGACCCCAGAGGGCACAACGGUGCAACGCGCUCAAAUAGUGGAGAAGCAGUUGUGGGCGACGGUGUGGAACCGGUCCCGGGCGACGGUGAGGAACCGGUCCCUUGGAUAAGGUAAAGAAGCACUACCCAAAAACCCUAGCAGCCCUGCCACUCCUUGGAACCAGGAGACGGGAUUAAUGUAAAGGUCCACCGACGAAAGACUGCCUUGGCUCCAUGCUGAAAAGGCCCUUAAGUCCCGGUGACUACCAACACUGCUGUGAAGUGCCAAAGACUGACUGCUUGAACCCAAGAUUCUCACUGCAAAAAGACCCACUCCACAUC